AGAAACGAUAGCGUUUAAACAAUGAUUUGAUUUCUUCUUCGUCGUCGUGAUACCAUGGAUCGACUGUUUUGCUGAAUGCCUGAUAUCUUCUUCUUCGACGCCGUUUAUACCAUGGUCCGACUGUGUUGCUGAUCCUAGUCAUGGCUCUCUCUACCAAUCUAAGCAGAUCCGACGAUGAUGUUAGCCCCAUCGAUGGUCGAUCGGUUGGGGUGGAUUUCUUCUUCUUCGAUCCACCAGAAUAUGUUCAUCAGAUCCGACGAUAAUGAGUUUCUUCUUCUUCUACUUUUCGUUCCCAUAAAUUGGAGGAGAUCCGAGGGAGAAAAAUAUGAGUGCUCCGGUGAAAAAGGAGAGCUAUUUUUGUGUGGUAAAAAGUUGUGUAACAUUAAUUCUAGAGAUGAUAAGGUAGUAUGUAGAGAACAUAAUUUGUAUUCGAUUUUGUGUGUCACAUUUUAUUUUCAGUGAACUGAGUGUAUUUUAACCGAGUUUUAUCGGCUAAGAUGAUAUCAAAUUAGACCA